ensembl:lncRNA
AUAGGAUUAGGGUAGUGGGUCAAAAGGGAAUAGGAUUAGGGUAUGGGUCCAAAAGGGAAUAGGAUUAGGGUAGUGGACCAAAAGGGAAUAGGAUUAGGGUAGUGGACCAAAAGGGAAUAGGAUUAGGGUAGUGGACCAAAAGGGAAUAGGAUUAGGGUAGUGGGCCAAAAGGGAAUAGGAUUAGGGUAGUGGACCAAAAGGGAAUAGGAUUAGGGUAGUGGACCAAAAGGGAAUAGGAUUAGGGUAGUGGGUCAAAAGGGAAUAGGAUUAGGGUAGUGGACCAAAAGGGUGCCAUUUGGGAGGUAGACAUAGUCUUCAAAAUAGGGAAAAAAUGUAAAUUAGCUUACCAUUUGCAGAGACCUGAGCAACAGCAACAAAAACACAUCCCAUUAUUACUCAAGCACAUAUGUGCAGCAGGAACAAACCAGAAAGAUACAUUAUACAAUUAUUAUGGAAUCGGGCCAAUUUUCAAGUUUGUAAUUAAGUAUUUGGUUUGCUACAAACAUAUAGCUGAAAUCUUGACCAACCUUGUUGCAAGUUAGUCCUAGAAAAUAUAAAAGAAUGAAAGUCUUCAUUUUGUAACCUUCAGAUGGAGACAGAGAUAGAAAUGGCAGUUGGUGUACAGCAGAAACAUAGUUGUAGGUCAUUUACAUUCCAUCCCAACAAGAUAACGGUCAGUGGAACUGUCAAUACUUGGAUAAACCCAUGUUCACUUGGGAGUUGUUUUCACUGUUGUUACAUUGAAUAAAUACAGUAACACAUGAACACAAAACAUUGUUGACAGACUUACUGGUAUAACAAAUGUUUGAUUAUUUACCCAUUUUGGAUUACACACACACACACACACACAUACACACACACACACACACACACACAGACACACACACACACACACACACAUCCCCAAACAUGAAGGGCCAUAUAUGACCAGGCCCUAAUCAUGAAAUGGAAAUAAUUAUUAUUCACAGGCACAAUCGGUUUCAAUGUCCUACUGUUCAAUGGUCCAUUCAUUAAAAUGUAGGUUAAUAUCCCCACAUAAUUAAAUAGAGGGGCAAUUCCAGCAUUUAUGGACAUUUC